CGACGUAAUCAGCUGGUUACUUUACGUCAAACUGCCGUAUGUCGCAAAACAGCCAAAGAGCCCACACGUAGUUGGCAGCUACUAUCCACUACAGUAUACAUCGUUUUAUUUACUAUUCAAGAUAACUGCUACAAUGGAAAUCUUACGUCCAUCAUUGAUCAACAUAAGUGGAAGAGUAUACAGAAGAAAUACGAUCAAAGAAGACCAGUAUGAAGAGGGGGAAGAGGACGACUCCUACAUGGGACCACCAGCAAGUGAACAGUUUGACGAAGAAGAAGAAGAGUUCUGUGACAGCCACUCCAUAGAACAGACGGACAAAGGUUUCAGCUGUGCCAUUGAUGUCCCAAGUGUUCUUUACAAAUACAUCAUCGGAAGGAAAGGAGAGACACGUAGAAGACUCGAGGCAGACACAAAGACAGACAUCCACAUUCCAAAACAAGGAGUGGAAGGACAGAUCGUGAUCACUGGCUCCCAGAAGGCCGCGGUGUCCUCUGCCGUGACUCGUGUCGAGCUCCUGGUGCAGAGCUUUCGCAAGAAGCAGCCGUUCACCCACUUCCUGUCGUUCGCUCUUAACCACCCUCAAGUUCAGGAUGGAUUCCUGAGGUUUAAAGAGGAGGUGUUGGAGCAGUGUUCUCAGGACCACGGAGUAGAUGGAAGCAUCUUCCAGAACCCUGCUAAGCUCCAUCUAACAGUCGGCACCCUGGCUCUGCUGAACGACCUGGAAGUGACCCAAGCAUGUAAACAACUCCAGCACUGUCAGGACUUUAUCAAGACCAUCACAGAAGGGAAGCCUCUCCCGCUGGAGGUGACAGGGAUUGAGUACAUGAACGAUGACCCAGCCAUGGUGGAUGUCCUGUAUGCCAAGGUCCAAGUGAAAGAUGGUUCGGACAAGCUGCAGACCAUUGUGGAGCGGCUGGUGGACCACUUUGUUUCCUCAGGGCUGAUGGUCAGAGAAUGGGACAGAGUGAAACUGCACGGCACAGUGAUGAACACUCUGUUCAGGAAGGAUGCUUCAGCCGAAGCCGGAGGAGGAAGGCAGCAGAACAUGAAGGAGCGGGAGGCCUUCGAUGCCAGGAACAUAUUAAAGAGCUUUGGGUCGUACCAUUUUGGGGAGUUUGAUCUGAAUGCGGUCCAGAUUUCCCAGAGGUAUUCUAUCGACUGCACCGGUUUCUACACCUCCGCUGGCCUUCUGAACUUCUCCUGACCACCUCUCCCCUGAACGUUCACUCAGAGAGAGAUGUCAUUCAGGAUGUGCUGGGCAAAGGUUUCCAGGAAUGACUAGACCACAUGUCAGGACACUGCAGAGAAGACCACAGGUCAGGACACUGCAGAGAAGACCACAGGUCAGGACACUGCAGAGAAGACCACAUGUCAGGACACUGCAGAGAAGACCACAUGUCAGGACACUGCAGAGAAGACCACAGGUCAGAGGUGAACGAUGAAGCUUCAAGGUGGACUGGACCUGCAGAGAUGAAUGACCGGGUUACAAGGUGGACAUGUCAGAAUACUCUAGGAUGUCCAUUUCACCGUGUCAGGAAACUCUAGGAUGUCCCUGUCACUGUGCACUUGGCUGCAGGCCAAUCAAAUGCCAGUGGAAUUGUGUCAGAAAAUGCUGGCGUUCAUUUCCGUGGGACAUCGUGCUCCAUCUCCCCCAGUCACGUGCUU